GCUAAUGUAGAGUGUUUGCUUAGUAAGCAAAAGUUCUGAGUUCAAACUCAGUACUAGCC
rnacentral:tRNA from 1 species